rnacentral:rRNA from 1 species
UACGUAGGUGGCAAGCGUUGUCCGGAUUUACUGGGCGUAAAGAGCGCGCAGGCGGUCGUUCAAGUCGCGUGUGAAAGCCCCCGGCUCAACUGGGGAGGGUCACGCGAUACUGAUCGACUCGAAGGCAGGAGAGGGUAGUGGAAUUCCCGGUGUAGUGGUGAAAUGCGUAGAUAUCGGGAGGAACACCAGUGGCGAAGGCGACUAUCUGGGCUGCAACUGACGCUGAGGCGCGAAGGCUAGGGUAGCAAACAGG